rnacentral:rRNA from 1 species
GUGAAGUGUUCGGAUCGCUGUGACGUAGAUGGUUCGCUGCCCGCGACUCUGCGAGAAGUCCAUUGAACCUUAUCAUUUAGAGGAAGGAGAAGUCGUAACAAGGUUUCCGUAGGUGAACCUGCGGAAGGAUCAUUG